GCCCGUGUGGCUCAGUGGUAGAGCACACCCUUGGUAAGGGUGAGGUCACCAGUUCAAUCCUGGUCACGGGCU
rnacentral:tRNA from 3 species